AGAGUUUGAUCAUGGCUCAGAGCGAACGCUGGCGGCAGGCCUAACACAUGCAAGUCGAACGGAUCCUUCGGGGUUAGUGGCGGACGGGUGAGUAACACGUGGGAACGUGCCUUUAGGUUCGGAAUAAGCUCGGGAAACUGGGUCUAAUACCGAAUGUGCCCUUCGGGGGAAAGAUUUAUCGCCUUUAGAGCGGCCCGCGUCUGAUUAGCUAGUUGGUGGUGUAAUGGACCACCAAGGCGACGAUCAGUAGCUGGUCUGAGAGGAUGACCAGCCACAUUGGGACUGAGACACGGCCCAAACUCCUACGGGAGGCAGCAGUGGGGAAUCUUGCGCAAUGGGCGAAAGCCUGACGCAGCCAUGCCGCGUGAAUGAUGAAGGUCUUAGGAUUGUAAAAUUCUUUCACCGGGGACGAUAAUGACGGUACCCGGAGAAGAAGCCCCGGCUAACUUCGUGCCAGCAGCCGCGGUAAUUC
rnacentral:rRNA from 1 species